rnacentral:tRNA from 1 species
UAGGUUGAAGCCCGCUGGUUUGGGUGUUUAGUUGUUAACUAGAUUUUUACGGGAUCGAAGCCCGUCAGCCUAGU